GCCGAUGUAGCUUAGUGGCAAAGCAGUAGUUUCGUAAACUACCGACGGCAGUUCAAUUCUGCCCAUCGGCU
rnacentral:tRNA from 2 species